UCUGGUGGUUGAAGCGAAGGGGGUACACCUGAUCCCAUUUCGAACUCAGAAGUUAAGCCCUUCAGCACCGAUGGUACUCGGCCAUGAGGCCCGGGAGAGUAGGCCGCCGCCAGAA
rnacentral:rRNA from 1 species